rnacentral:rRNA from 1 species
UACGUAGGGUCCGAGCGUUGUCCGGAAUUACUGGGCGUAAAGAGCUCGUAGGGGGUUUGUCGCGUUGUUCGUGAAAACUCACAGCUCAACUGUGGGCGUGCGGGCGAUACGGGCAGACUAGAGUACUGCAGGGGAGACUGGAAUUCCUGGUGUAGCGGUGGAAUGCGCAGAUAUCAGGAGGAACACCGGUGGCGAAGGCGGGUCUCUGGGCAGUAACUGACGCUGAGGAGCGAAAGCGUGGGGAGCGAACAGG